GACGAACGCUGGCGGCGUGCUUAACACAUGCAAGUCGAACGGAAAGGCCCUGCUUUUGUGGGGUGCUCGAGUGGCGAACGGGUGAGUAACACGUGAGUAACCUGCCCUUGACUUUGGGAUAACUUCAGGAAACUGGGGCUAAUACCGGAUAGGAGCUCCUGCUGCAUGGUGGGGGUUGGAAAGUUUCGGCGGUUGGGGAUGGACUCGCGGCUUAUCAGCUUGUUGGUGGGGUAGUGGCUUACCAAGGCUUUGACGGGUAGCCGGCCUGAGAGGGUGACCGGCCACAUUGGGACUGAGAUACGGCCCAGACUCGAACGGGAGGCAGCAGUGGGGAAUAUUGCACAAUGGGCGGAAGCCUGAUGCAGCAACGCCGCGUGCGGGAUGACGGCCUUCGGGUUGUAAACAGAUGUCGCCUGUGACGAAGCGUGAGUGACGGUAAUGGGUAAAGAAGCACCGGCUAACUACGUG
rnacentral:rRNA from 1 species